CGUGCUAGGAAAUUCAAGUUCAAACAGAGACGAGGAAGCCAGAGAAAGCUUUAUUAGAUUCCAGCCUCACCAGGUGUCAGCAGAAUGUGCCAGGUGAGUUACCAGCAUGCACAGGUGGGGAGCAGUGCUGGGCUCAGGGCAGGGCAUGCAGGGCAUGCAGGGCUGCAGGGGGGCUGUGCAGGGCUCUGGGGCUGCCCUGGCUGGAGCUGAAGGGUUCCCAGAGAGGGGACAGGGACAGAAACAGACCCCAGAGAGGGGACAGGGAUGGGAGCAGCCCCAGAGGGGUUACAGGGACAGGAGCAGCCCCAGGAAGGGGACAGGGACAGGAGCAGCCUCAGGAAGGGGACAGGGACAGGAGCAGCCCCAGGAAGGGGACGGGGACAGGAGCAGCCCCAGGAAGGGGACAGGGACAGGAGCAGCCCCAGGGAGGGGACAGGGAUGGGAGCAGCCCCAGGGAGGGGACAGGGACAGGAGCAGCCCCAGGGAGGGGACACCCAUCGGAGGCACAGCGAGCUUUGGAUCCAGCCUGGGAGGGAGCCAGGACAGCCCCUCUGGAGGGGCCACAGAGCUGCUGCCUGCACCCAGCGAGGGGAGGGGAGGGGGAAGCUCCUGCAUUUCUCUCAGGUCCUUGCAGAGCCCCAGAGGCCCCAGCCCCGCACAGGCCCUGCAGGGCAGGCAGGGCCUGGCUGCUCCCCCGGGAGCCUCCUGCUCCUGGGGCUCCCUGUGCAGGCCCAGGGCUGGGCAGAGCAGCAGCUCUGGGGACAGUGGCAGCAGCACCUCGGCAUUCCAGCUCCUGCCUGGCUCAAGCACCAGUCCAGCCCAGCUUCCCCAUUUGUUCGGUUUAUUGAACUUCAAAGAGGUGCACACUAAAGCAUUAAGAUUUACUGGUUUGGAUUCCUCUCUGUACAAGUUCUUUCACACAGCUUGAAUGCACAAGGCUUUACAGAUAGAAGCGCCGAAACACAAGAUAAAACAAAUCUAAAUUCCAAAUCACUCCAUGAAGAAAAAAUCGUAGAAAAUUAAAAUUAAAAAAAAAAAAAAAAAGGAAAACAAAACAAAA